rnacentral:misc_RNA from 1 species
AACGGUCUAUACCUGCGGUACCUGCGGAGGGAUCAUUAUAGAGUUUUUACAACUCCCAACCCUUUGUGAACUUUGUUCUCUAUCUCUGCUUCGACAGGUGGUCCCAGGGCGGGACCAGCGCCAGUCUAACCAGACAGGCACCUGUCAGAGGUGGAACAAGACUCUGUUUUUUUUAUGAGUAUCUGAGUGGUUUAUAAAAUAAGUUAAAACUUUCAACAAUGGAUCUCUAGAUCGGAAGAG